rnacentral:rRNA from 1 species
GCAUAUCAAUAAGCGGAGGAAAAGAAACUAACAAGGAUUCCCCUAGUAACGGCGAGUGAAGCGGGAAGAGCUCAAAUUUGUAAUCUGGCACUUUCAGUGUCCGAGUUGUAAUCUCGAGAAGUAUUUUCCGCGCCGGACCGCAUACAAGUCUGUUGGAAUACAGCGUCAUAGUGGUGAGAACCCCGUAACUGAUGCGGAUGCCCGGUGCUUUGUGAUAUACUUUCGAAGAGUCGAGUUGUUUGGGAAUGCAGCUCAAAUUGGGUGGUAAAUUCCAUCUAAAGCUAAAUAUUGGAGCAAGACCGAUAGCGAACAAGUACCGUGAGGGAAAGAUGAAAAGCACUUUGGAAAGAGAGUUAACAGUACGUGAAAUUGUUGGAAGGGAAACGCUUGAAGUCAGACUUGCUAUUCGGAGUUCAGCCGCAAGGUGUAUUCUUCGAUUCGCAGGCCAGCAUCAGUUUUCGGGGGUGGAAAAUCGCGGUUUGAAGGUAGCAACUUCGGUUGUGUUAUAGCUUUCCGCUGGAUUCAUCCUUGGGGACUGAGGAACGCAGUACGCUUUUUGCAAGGCUCUCGAGCUUUUCGUACUUAGGAUGCUGGUGGAAUGGCUUUAAACGACCCGUCUUGAAACACGGACCAAGGAGUCUAACAUGCUUGCGAGUGUUUGGGUGUCAAACCCGGACGCGCAAUGAAAGUGAAUGGAGGUGGGAUCCGCAAGGUGCACCAUCGACCGAUCUGGAUUUUCUAAGAUGGAUUUGAGUAAGAGCAAUUAUGUUGGGACCCGAAAGAUGGUGAACUAUGCCUGAAUAGGGCGAAGCCAGAGGAAACUCUGGUGGAGGCUCGUAGCGGUUCUGACGUGCAAAUCGAUCGUCAAAUUUGGGUAUAGGGGCGAAAGACUAAUCGAACCAUCUAGUAGCUGGUUCUGC